GGGGGAGUGAGCAGGACAAGAUGUGACGAAGAAGGGAAGGCGCUUCCAGGACUGACAAGCAGUCGCAGAGGCAGAGAGAGGAUGCAUGUUUGCACGCGUGCUGGAAUAUGUGACCACACGCGUGCAUCAGGUAGCAGGCACUUCUUGGGGCCAGGAUGCCCAUUUUUACAGGAGGGGAAACAGAAGUUCAGGGAAGUUCAUUCAUUCAGCAAACACUGAUUGAGCGGCUCCCAUCCGGGCACCGUUCUGGUUGCUGAGCAAAUGGGAAGUCCCUGUCCUCAUGGAGCAUACAGCCUGGUAGGAGAGGAGGACAUGAAAACAACGUGACAUCAGGAAACACCGGGGAUCUGUUCAUCCACGAGGCUCCGGGAGGUCAGCUGGAACCCGAGGAGAGACAGCCUGGAGAGCCCGAGGUCGCCCAGGGCGCGCCUGAUGCCUGGGCCCCCCGAAGAUGUGCAGUGCACUGCAGGGUCACCCGGACCCGGACUCCGCUGUCCUCCAGGAAGGACCCUCUGCCGUCCAGUCUCUCUCUCCCCCGCCCAGGACCCUUCGUGCCCUGACCCUUGGAGGGCUUCGUGUCCUCUGGCCUCCAGUGGCCAGUGGCUGCUUCUCCUCACCCUCGGCCCCCACUGCCCCCGGACCUGGGCACUCAGCCUCCCCAGGGAGGGAGCGUGGCCCGGCCUGGAGUCAGGCUGAGGAGGCCGGAGACAGCAGCGAGGGACAAGGGACGGGGCCAGCUGGCUCU